AGGACGAACGCUGGCGGCGUGGAUUAGGCAUGCAAGUCGCGCGACGGGCCUUCGGGCUACGGAGCGGCGAACGGGUGAGUAACACGUGAUUAACCUGUCCCUACAUUCCGGAUAAUUGGCCGAAAGGCCUUGUAAUACGGGCGAGGGUCGUUGGGGGGCAUCUCCCGACGAAGGAAGGCGAGAGCCGUGCGGGGAGGGGAUCGCGGAUUAUCAGCUAGUUGGUGGGGUAACGGCCUACCAAGGCAACGACGAUUAGGUGGUCUGAGAGGAUGGUCACCCACAUUGGAACUGAGACACUGUCCAGACUCUUACGGGAGGCUACAGUCGAGAAUCUUGGGCAAUGCACGAAAGUGUGACCCAGCGACGCCGCGUGGAGGAUGAAGGACCUCUGGUUCGUAAACUCCUUUUAGGGGAGAAGAAGAUCUGACGGUAUCCCCUGAAUAAGCCACGGCUAACUACGCGCCAGCAGCCGC
rnacentral:rRNA from 1 species